CUUACCUUGUCCCAGUCCCGUUGCCUCUUUCCACCUUCCAGACCUUCCAACGUCUAAAAGUCGCAUCGGUCAGCCAUUAGUCCGGCUCCUGUUCCCUUUCAGGCCUCGGCUAUUCUGUCCUCGUCCUUCCUUCUCGCCACCCUCUUCGAUUGAGCGUCGGGCUUUUACGCUGACCGGCGUGACGUCCCUGACAAUUGCAUUACGAUGCGCAGCAAUGAGACUAUGAGGGUCCGCCCGGAUUCACUAUUAGAGAGGCGGUUCAUCAAAAAAAGGGGCUCUUUGCUUGCCCUGUGAUUCAUUGUGUGCCGUUUCGCUCCUUAGUAUUGCGGCCAUGUAAUGUGUCAAAAAGGUUUCUCUCGCCAUCAAUAAUCGCCUCCAAAGCCUAUGAAAAAUGAACUUAGUACUAGUUCAUAUGAAAUCAUUUGAGCUGUUGAUCGUAGUGAUCCUAGAAAUGCAUACUUAGAGUUAGCUGACCAAGGGUCAACG
rnacentral:sRNA from 1 species